AGCGAACGCUGGCGGCAGGCUUAACACAUGCAAGUCGAGCGGGCCCUUCGGGGUCAGCGGCGGACGGGUGAGUAACGCGUGGGAACGUGCCUUCUGGUCUGGAAUAACCCUGGGAAACUAGGGCUAAUACCGGAUACGCCCUUUUGGGGAAAGGUUUACUGCCGGAAGAUCGGCCCGCGUCUGAUUAGCUAGUUGGUGGGGUAACGGCCUACCAAGGCGACGAUCAGUAGCUGGUCUGAGAGGAUGANCAGCCACACUGGACUGAGACACGGCCCAGACUCCUACGGGAGGCAGCAGUGGGGAAUAUUGGACAAUGGGGAAACCCUGAUCCAGCGAUGCCGCGUGAGCGAAGAAGGCCUUAGGGUUGUAAAGCUCUUUCGCCGCGACGAUAAUGACGGUAGCGGGAGAAGAAGCCCCGGCUAAC
rnacentral:rRNA from 1 species